GAGCGGAUCCUUCGGGUGAAGUGCAGAAGUUUCUUCCGGUUCCAAGAAAAGCCAUGACGGUACGACAUGUACUCCCGUACCGCAAUCCGACACAGGUAGGUAGGUAGAGAAUACCAAGGUGUUCGAGAUAACUCACGCUAAGGAACUAGGCAAUCUAACCCCGUAACUUCGGGAGAAGGGGUGCUGGCGCAAGCCAGCCGCAGUGAAAUGGCCCGAGCGACUGUUUACCAAAAACACAGGUCUCUGCAAAAGCGAAAGCUGACGUAUAGGGGCUGACGCCUGCCCAAUGCCAGAAUGUUAACAGGAGAGGUCAGCGCAAGCGAAGCUUUGAAUCGAAGCACUGGUGAAUGGCGGCCGUAACUAUAACGGUCCUAAGGUAGCGAAAUUCCUUGUCGGGUAAGUUCCGACCCGCACGAAUGGCGUAACGACUUGGGCGCUGUCUCAGCGUGAGACUCGGCGAAAUUGUAGUAUGCGUGAAGAUGCGCAUUACCCGCCGCAGGACGGAAAGACCCCAUGGAGCUUUACUGCACCCUGACGUUGCUGCCCGGCAUAUUCUGAAGAGCGUAGGUGGGAGACUUUUGUCGCCAAUGGAACACCACCCUGGAUAUGUUGGGUAGCUAACCCGCGCCGUUAUCCGGCAAGGAGACAGUGUCAGGCGGGCAGUUUGACUGGGGCGGUCGCCUCCCAAAAAGUAACGGAGGCGUCCAAAGCUGCCCUCAGGCUGGUCGGAAACCAGCUUUUGAGUACAAUGGCAUAAGGGCGGUUUACUGCGAGACGUACAUGUCGAGCAGUUGCGAAAGCAGGGCAUAGUGACCCUUUGGUCGCGUAUGGGUGCGCCAAAGAUCAUCGGAUAGAAGCUACCCUGGGGAUAACAGGCUUAUCUUGCCCAAGCGCUCACAGCGACGGCAAGGUUUGGCACCUCGAUGUCGGCUCGUCGCAUCCUGGGGCUGGAUUCGGUCCCAAGGGUUAGGCUGUUCGCCUAUUAAAGCGGUACGCGAGCUGGGUUCAGAACGUCGUGAGACAGUUCGGUCCCUAUCCGUCGUGGGCGUUGGGAAUUUGAGAGGAGCUGACCUUAGUACGAGAGGACCGGGUUGGACACACCACUGGUGCACCAGUUAGGAUGCCAGUCCUAUAGCUGGGUAGCUACGUGUGGAUGGGAUAAACGCUGAAAGCAUCUAAGCGUGAAGCCCUCCUCAAGAUGAGAUUCCCCAUUCAUUUGAAGUAAGAUCCCUUGUAGACUACGAGGUUGAUAGGCAAGAUGUGGAAGAACCGUGAGGUUUGAAGCUGACUUGUACUAAUAGAUCGAGGACUUAACUUU
rnacentral:rRNA from 1 species